rnacentral:rRNA from 1 species
AUGGAUGGACGCUUGCUCGAUCGUGGGUUCAGGCGAUGCUGCCAGCAAAAGCGCAAAGCGCGCGCACAGGAUGGGAUACGAGGCGGCCGGAGGACUUUGUGGAUUGUAGGGAGACGGGCAACCAAGUCAAGCAUGUGCAUGUGCAGCUGCGUAUGCAUGCAUGCACCUUGCUCGGAAAGGAGAAAGAGAAAAAGGGUAAAGCUCUGCUGGCUUGGUUUUCCGUUGGUGUUAUCCUCGGCGUGGUUUGAACGAUGCUUUUGGGAUGCUUCCAAAUUAUUUUGGGCCGCUGCUACUUCAUUUUGA